rnacentral:rRNA from 1 species
UCCACACCGUAAACUUUGUACACUAGGUGUUAUGACACAAGUCAUAGUACCGAAGCUAACGCGUUAAGUGUACCGCCUGGGGAGUAUGCCGGCAACGGUGAAACUCAAAGGAAUUGACGGGGGCCCGCACAAGCGGUGGAGCAUGUGGUUUAAUUCGACGAUACGCGAAAAACCUUACCGGGAUUUGACAUAUAGUUGAUCGGUAUAGAGAUGUACUUUUCUCUUCGGAGGCAGCUAAACAGGUGCUGCAUGGCUGUCGUCAGCUCGUGUUGUGAGAUGUUGGGUUAAGUCCCGCAACG